CAGGCCCGGAAACCUUUGUUUCAAGCAGAGCAGCAGGCCCCUGGCCCUGCUUGCUAGGAUCAAAUUCUUGUCCCCAUCAGCAUUCAGCUCGGUAACAUUCUCCCAUUUUGUCACCACGUGGGUCAUAUUUGCUUUCCUUCUCCAGACAUACAUAGCAGCCUCGACACGGUCUGCGAUCUCAAGUGCCUCAUGUUCGGAGGUCAAGUUUAGGAAGUCAAGGAGGUGAUCUGGUGAAAACUGAUCCCCUGAAGACAUGUACCGAGAGGAUAGCAUUGUUGAUCUCCAUGGCCAUCUUGUGGAUCUGGCUAGCUUGGUCCCUCUUGUGCUGCAGCUCACGGUGCACAGAAUCGGACAGACCUGAUUCUGGCACACACGGCUCAGAACUCUGCCUUGUCGAAGCUGUCCAAUAUACCCUGCAAACAAGCAUGUGCACGUCCAGUGAAUAAACUCAGCUAACAGAGAGAGUUGCUUGACUGGAACUUGCACAAGUAUCCGAAUUGAGACUUUACAAGGAGCAUGGUUUCUAGCUUUUCAAGUGCAGGAAGGUUCAUCAGAAUGUCUGAUCGCGGUGAGGUUGCCAUCACCUGUAGGCAGCAAUCGCACGCAAACAUUAGUAAGCAGAUGCGACAAGGAGGAAUCAAUAUAUAUGUGAUGUUGGCAUUACAUCGUGGGUGCUUCCAUCAGGUCUGGCCUGGACUAUCGGUGCGAAUUCUACAAUGUAUUCGCAAAUGGAGAGGAGGCAAUCCAUCUCCCGGUUCCACUUUGAUUUCUUCUCAGGAGACAGUGACUGCAAUCUGUGACAGGUCCCAAACACAGUUGCUGGAGCCAUAGAGGAGAGAAGUUAGCAUGCAUCUGGACCAGUUUAGCGGAGAUUUUCAUCCGAUUACUAGUACCAUAUAGGUUGGUGAUGGCAUUGGAGAUGGCCACGGCAGUGCAGACACCCUUGCCGCCCCCUGACAUGUCCUCCCCAAGGAGCAGCUUCGUGUACUUUUCCUUCAUCAGCUC